GAUGAACGCUGGCGGCGUGCCUAACACAUGCAAGUCGAACGGUGAAACGCCUUCCUUUUUGGUGGGAGUGUAUGAGUGGCCAACGGGUGAGUAACUCGUUAGUAACCUGCCCCCUUCUUCUUGAUAACCGCAUGACAGUGUGGCUAAUACGUGAUAUUUUGGGUCUGUCGCAUCAUUGGUCUGGGACAGAUUUUGUUUCGGUUGUGGAUGGGCUCGCGCCGUAUCAGCUUGUUGGUGGGGUGACGGCCUACCAAGGCGGUGACUGGUAGCCGGCCUGAGAGGAUCGGCCGCACCGCAAGUGAGACAAGACGGAGAAGACUCCGGGAGGCAGCAGCAGGGAGGAUUACGGCAUGGUGGGAGGAAGGCUGAAGCAGCGACGCCGGGUGAGGGAAGGAGGUCUUAUGGUAGAGAUCCUCUUUCGCCAGUGAAGAAGGGCUUACGCGUUUGUGCGUGGGUUGACGGUAGCUGGACAAAAAGCGCCGGCUAACUACGUG
rnacentral:rRNA from 1 species